UCGUAAAAUCCCGCUGUUGGUGCUCGCGGCGUGGUUCACAUGCCGCAGUUCAACGGGAAGCAGGGAGGCGCCGUACCACCGGUACCCGCCCAGCCUGCGCUGCCCCCGCAACGGUCAGCGGACGAAUCGCCCGAUUCUCUCUCCAUCCAUAAGCCACUGGGCGCCUUGAACAAGCGCCUGGGAAGGCAUUGGGGGGGUGUUCCGCCAGCCCGGAUACCGGCCAACACGGUGGCUGCGUGC
rnacentral:ncRNA from 17 species